CCCUGUACGGUGCGCCUGUAUGGGCUGA
rnacentral:sRNA from 1 species